GAUGAACGCUGGCGGCGUGCCUAAUACAUGCAAGUCGAGCGAACGGACGAGAAUCUUGCUUCUCUGAUGUUAGCGGCGGACGGGUGAGUAACACGUGGAUAACCUACCUAUAAGACUGGGAUAACUUCGGGAAACCGGAGCUAAUACCGGAUAAUAUUUUGAACCGCAUGGUUCAAAAGUGAAAGACGGUCCUGCUGUCACUUAUAGAUGGAUCCGCGCUGCAUUAGCUAGUUGGUAAGGUAACGGCUUACCAAGGCAACGAUGCAUAGCCGACCUGAGAGGGUGAUCGGCCACACUGGAACUGAGACACGGUCCAGACUCCUACGGGAGGCCGCAGUAGGGAAUCUUCCGCGAUGGGCGAAAGCCUGACGGAGCAACGCCGCGUGAGUGCUGAAGGUCUUCGGAUCGUAAAACUCUGUUAUUAGGGAAGAACAUAUGUGUAAGUAACUGUGCACAUCUUGACGGUACCUAAUCAGAAAGCCACGGCUAACUACGUG
rnacentral:rRNA from 1 species